rnacentral:rRNA from 1 species
AUACAGAGACCUCGAGCGUUAUUCGGAUUCACUGGGCGUAAAGGGUGCGCAGGCGGUUGGAUGUGUCAGGUGUGAAAGCUCGAGGCUUAACCUCGAAACUGCGCCUGAAACUAUUCGACUAGAGUAUCGGAGAGGUGAGCGGAAUUCAUGGUGUAGCAGUGAAAUGCGUAGAUAUCAUGAGGAACACCAGAGGCGAAGGCGGCUCACUGGACGAUUACUGACGCUCAGGCACGAAAGCGUGGGUAGCGAAAGGGAUUAGAAACCCCAGUAGUCC